CCUACGGGUGGCAGCAGUCGAGAAUCAUUCACAAUGGGGGAAACCCUGAUGGUGCGACGCCGCGUGAAGGAAGAAGGCUUUCGGGUUGUAAACUUCUUUUGACAGGGAAGCGUAGAAGACGGUACCUGUCGAAUAAGCCACGGCUAACUACGUGCCAGCAGCCGCGGUAAUACGUAGGUGGCAAGCGUUGUCCGGAUUUACUGGGUGUAAAGGGCGUGUAGCCGGGUUGACAAGUCAGGUGUGAAAUCCUGCGGCUUAACCGCAGAACUGCCUUUGAAACUGUUGAUCUUGAGUACUGGAGAGGCAGGCGGAAUUCGUAGUGUAGCGGUGAAAUGCGUAGAUAUUAGGAGGAACACCAGUGGCGAAGGCGGCUUACUGGACAGUAACUGACGUUGAGGCUCGAAAGCGUGGGGAGCAAACAGGAUUAGAUACCCUUGUAGUC
rnacentral:rRNA from 1 species